UACGUAGGGUGCAAGCGUUGUCCGGAUUUAUUGGGCGUAAAGAGCUCGUAGGUGGUUCGGUAAGUCGGAUGUGAAAUCUCCAGGCUCAACCUGGAGGGGUCAUUCGAUACUGCCGUGACUAGAGUUCGGUAGGGGAGUGUGGAAUUCCUGGUGGAGCGGUGAAAUGCGCAGAUAUCAGGAAGAACACCGACGGCGAAGGCAGCUCGCUGGGACGGUACUGACGCUGAGGCGCGAAAGCGUGGGGAGCGAACAGG
rnacentral:rRNA from 1 species